ensembl:snoRNA
AAAACAAUAUCAGAACCUGUGAAUGGGAAUUUUCCCCAUUCUUGGUUACACCAUAGUGCAAAAGAAUUCCUGACUCUUUGUUGCACAGCUGACUUGUACCAGAUUGCUGUUGCUUUAUGGAGUUAAGGAACAUGA